AACGUAGGUGGCGAGCGUUAUCCGGAUUUACUGGGCGUAAAGGGUGUGCAGGCGGGGGAUUCAGUGGUGUAUGAAAGGGCGCGGCUCAACCGCGCUAGGUUAUGCCAGACUGAUGCUCUUGAGGACCAAACAGGGCUGUGGAAUUCCAGGUGUAGCGGUGAAAUGCGUAGAUAUCUGGAGGAACACCGGUGGCGAAGGCGACAUCCUGGACCGGUAUUGACGCUGAGGCGCGAAAGCCAGGGGAGCAAACGGG
rnacentral:rRNA from 1 species